GAUGAACGCUGGCGGCGUGCCUAAUACAUGCAAGUCGAGCGAACAGACGAGGAGCUUGCUCCUCUGACGUUAGCGGCGGACGGGUGAGUAACACGUGGAUAACCUACCUAUAAGACUGGGAUAACUUCGGGACACCGGAGCUAAUACCGGAUAAUAUAUUGAACCGCAUGGUUCAAUAGUGAAUGACGGUUUUGCUGUCACUUCUAGCUGGAUCCGCGCCGCAUUAGCUAGUUGGUAAGGUAACGGCUUACCAAGGCGACGCUGCGUAGCCGACCUGAGAGGGUGAUCGGCCACACUGGAACUGAGACACGGUCCAGACGCCUACGGGAGGCAGCAGUAGGGAAUCUUCCGCAAUGGGCGAAAGCCUGACGGAGCAACGCCGCGGGAGUGAUGAAGGUCUUCGGAUCGUAAAACUCUGUUAUUAGGGAAGAACAAAUGUGUAAGUAACUAUGCACGUGUUGACGGUACCUAAGCAGAAAGGCACGGCUAACUACGGG
rnacentral:rRNA from 1 species